AGCCUUUCCACAUUUUUUUCUAUACACCGAAGGGUUUGUUGGGGACGUUUCUUUCUUUGAGAGGUCACCCGUCGCACACUUCCUCUUCCCCAUGCCCGAGACAUCUGUUUUCAACGCAUCGCCUCCUCUGCUUCCCAGUCGCAUCGCAACCUCCUACCUUCUCCAUGACAACUUCUCCCCCACUUGGCCAUCCACAAAGUCCAUUAAAUCACGGUAGCGGAAAGGAUGCGGUUCUAUAUUUACAAGCGGACCCAUCAAUCGAUCACAUCAGCGCCAGGAAGAUGAGAAGGCGAGGUCAAGGUUUGGGUCAAGGUUCAGACCAGCCGAAAGAAGAGGUUCAGGUCAAGGUUCAGAUCGGCGGCGAUGCAGAGCGACGGCUUGCCGGAGCAGCAACCUCCACAGUGGUGGUGUUCGAGCCGUUGGCAUCGCUGCGCAUAGCCGUGGCUUCCUCCUCCCACCAGCCGCUCGAGAGCGUCAGGGCUCCACGGCCCUCUAUCCCAUGCACUACCAUCACCAUCCAAUUAGAGUGUGCUACAGCAAACAGUGGCAAUAGCUGACGGAAGUGUUUGAUUGGUUAGGAGGAGGAGAGCUGCUGCUUCAAAUAGUUUUUCGAGACAACUGCAUCAUGGUCUACUACAAUGAGAAGAGACACUAGCAGUCGAGACUAAAUAUCAGUAUCUAGGUGCACCUAUUGACCUGAUUCGCUCUAGCAGGUUUCAUCACUAAUGUUACUGAAUUUCUUUGUGAUAGAUGAUGCUACCAUCCACUAGAGGUAACACUUGCUGCGCCAUUUUGUUGGUAUGAUUGCAUUAAUUUGGACAGACUCAGUUGCCCAUUGCAAAAGAAGACUGCUGAACAAAUUGUCUUACAAAAAUGCACAAAUCUCUUUUGAUGGUAUGAGGUCCAUAAUCUUCUUUGUUGUUCAAUACAUCUUCUAUUUUGAAUUACUUAUGUGUUCUGAACAUAUUUCGCAAUAAUCAAAAUAUCUUAAUGUUGUAGGUUAAUUUUGUCUGGAUUACGGGGGUAAAGAAAGCUUUUGUCUAGAUUAGUUAUCUUCCAAUCAUUCUCAUAUUUUAAUGUUGUCAGUUACUUCUGCAUAUAUGCGCACCCGAGAGUGUUGACAAGUAUAGGUCUGAACAGUUCAAGGAAGACGAUAAAAAAUAGUUGAAGGAAGGCUAGCCUAUUUUUCCAUCCAAUUCUCAUUAGUUUUGCAUGGACCUAAAAAUAUUACUAGGAAACAAGAUACAUAUUGUUUGAAAGUUGCCAAAAUUCCAGUGGAUAAACAUUAGGCUUAUCACUCCUUAUGUUUGCUAACCUCUAUCUUCAAUAUUUUCCUUGUGAGUUUUAUUUCUUAUCUACGAUGAACUUUGGUGGUCUGCUCUCAGCUCCUAAUGUCCCUAUCUAUAGAAGUAAGAACAUACUCUCUUUUAAUUAUCCUUGCAGAUUGUUACUCUUUGAUUCCUACGGAAUUGCUUCAUUGCUACACCUUUAAUCUAAUUAUGUUUAGCAUUGUGGAAUCAGUAAGAUUUACUUCACCAUCCUCUCUUCAUUGUCAUAUUUGUUCGGUUUAUGUACAUGUCGUUGUUUUGGAACAGGUUAUCCUAACUUCCCAAACCAUUACUACAGACUUGCAAUAUUAACUAGAAUAGAAAUAUAGAAUAUCGAAUGCAUAAUAUUCUUAUGGAUUGUCAUGUUCUUUAUUGACCAAAAGUUCAUCACCGUGCUUAGUUUAAAAGCUCUCUCCCUUGACUGGUCUUGCCUUAUUAAGUCAAAAUUGUAUCACCUUUUUAUUUAAUCAUGAAACUUAUUUUUCACGAUAAUUGUGGUAUAAUAUUGCCUUCACUAAAUGUAGUAGAGGUUUGGUUUUAUGUGUAGAAAUUAUGGUAAAAAGUGAAUUGGUAAUUUCUGUUCUCAAUGUCAUCAACGCUCACACACUAUUAUUUUCCACUUUCAAGUGAAAGUGCUCUGUUCCUGUUAAUGGUGGUGAUUGUUUGUUGUCUUCAGCGGAUGAAGACAAGCAGUGAGCUACGAUGUGGGCAACUAAGAAGAAUCAUUACCGCCUCUGAAGCAACUCUCCAGUACCUAUUUGAUUUGUGGUACAUUUAUUUGUUUCUCAUGGGUGAGAUGUUUUUGAUGCAUAAAUGGUUGGCGGGGCCACGUUAUUUUGUCAGUGGGAACUGAAACCACCAAUAUUAUUAUAUAUUUUAAAAGGAAAUGUUCUGUAUUUUUUCA